rnacentral:lncRNA from 1 species
GCAAAAGUUUGCCGGCUUCCGCAGUGAUGGAUCACCGUUUUAGUGGCAUUUAAAUCCCCGGCGCUCCGCCGUCUAGGUGACGCGCAGUCGCCCCCCCAGGCAGCCUAGGCGGCGGCAGCUGCUGCGGCGACUGCAAAGGCCGAUUUGGAGUGCUGGAGCGAAGAAGAGCAAAAGCUGCGUUCUGCGCGCGCCCGACUCCGCUGCCCGCCCCGCCAGGCCUCCGGGAGGUGGGGGCUGGGAGGCGUCCCCCGCUCCCGCCCCCUCCCCACCGUUCAAUGAAAGAUGAACUGGCGAGAGAAAGCGUUUGAUUUAUGAGCGUAGGACGAAUCGCAUCCAGGAGCUGCGCAGCCCUGGCCGCUGCCGGGACGCCCUGCUCCGCGCUGAGCUUGGGGCCAGAAACCAGCCAUAGUCCCCACACUCCGCCGCCGCAGCUGAGAUUUAGCGGAGGAAGGGGCGAGGGAAGGUAGGGAGCAAACCUAUGAAGAAACAUCGCGUUGUCAUUGGAACUUCCAAGCCUUUGCUGUUAAGAGCCAGGUUCUUAAAUCAACCCGCCCCACACACAUGUUGCUUACAUGCUGCGUUUUCUCACGGUAAGUAAGUAGGCAUCAGAAGAGAGCUCAGAAAGGGAAAAAUAAACAUGGGGAGACCUAACAAGGGAGGGGGGAAAAGCAACAACCCAGUGACACACCCUAGAUCACAUUUUAUUGAUAUUUCAUUUAAAGUGCUUUUCUCUCUCUCUAGAACCUGCGUUAAUUUAUAACCUAGGGUGUAGAAACACACCAUUUUAAAUCUCAACUUGCUAACCUGACUUCGAAGCAUUAACGAUCUAUUAUUAGCAAUGUAAACAGGUUUAAGAAUGAAAUAUUGAUUUUUCUGACCCUGAAAAAAAAAAAAAAAUCCUAGAGUGACUGAACCAGAGGAUUGGAAAGAACAUUUUCUAGGGUGCAUUUUCCAGAUAGUAAUCACUGUUUUGUUUUAUUUUUGUUUUUCUCUAUCUUUUAGGUCUGUUUUGCCUGAACCCAUCAACAGCUGGGAGAUUAAUCAACCACACUGAAAAUGUGGAGGGAUUUAUGGGGGAGGGGGUUGAAAUGUGGGUGUUUGAAACAAAAGUGUAUAAACAAAUGAAUUGUUGAUAACUUAGUUAUUGACCUGGAGACUGGUAGCUUAUUAAAGAAACUCCGUGUUACUCAUUCCUGGAGUUGGGGGUUUCUGUAGGCACUUUAUUUCUCCACUUUCAAGAGCUUGGGCUUGGCCCAAAUCUUAGACUGUCCAAUUCUGCCUCUAUUACCAAUUUAAAUCUAUGGCUUGAACCUGUGCACUGAAAAUCAAAUCCUUUAAAAAGAAAGAGGAGAAGAAGAAGCAAAAAAGAAAGAAAAAACACUUAUUAGAAGCCCUAGUCAUUUUUUGGCUUUCUGUUUUG